rnacentral:lncRNA from 1 species
GGGUGGAGGAUGAUCUCUUGGUGGUAUCUGAUGGUCACAGACGAUACACAGAUGUAUGGACCCUAGAUUCAGCCUAUUCGCAUCACUAUACCCCAAACUGGUCUUGGUUCGUGACAUACAUCAAGAUUGAUGAGGGGAUCGUGACACUCGAAGAUGAUCACCCAUGCAAGGUUGCUGGUACAGAGAGUAUUCAGGUAAGGAUAUUUGAUAGGAUGGUGCAAGAUCUCACAAAUG